rnacentral:tRNA from 6 species
GGAGAGGUGUCCGAGUGGUUUAAGGAGCACGCCUGGAAAGUGUGUAUAGGUUAAUAGCCUAUCGUGGGUUCGAAUCCCACCCUCUCCGCCA